CCUCGGGGGGCUGCAGUGGGGAAUAUUGGACAAUGGGCGAAAGCCUGAUCCAGCCAUGCCGCGUGUGUGAAGAAUGCCUUCGGGUUGUAAAGCACUUUCAGUGGGGAAGAAAGCCUUGGGGCUAAUACCCUCGAGGAAGGACAUCACCCACAGAAGAAGCACCGGCUAACUCCGUGCCAGCAGCCGCGGUAAUACGGAGGGUGCGAGCGUUAAUCGGAAUUACUGGGCGUAAAGCGCGCGUAGGCGGUCUGAUAAGCCGGUUGUGAAAGCCCCGGGCUCAACCUGGGAACGGCAUCCGGAACUGUCAGGCUAGAGUGCAGGAGAGGAAGGUAGAAUUCCCGGUGUAGCGGUGAAAUGCGUAGAGAUCGGGAGGAAUACCAGUGGCGAAGGCGGCCUUCUGGACUGACACUGACGCUGAGGUGCGAAAGCGUGGGUAGCAAACAGGAUUAGAUACCCUAGUAGUC
rnacentral:rRNA from 1 species